GUCUACAGCCAUACCACCCUGAACACGCCUGAUCACAUCUGAUCUCGGAAGCUAAGCAGGGUCGGGCCUGGUUAGAACUUGGAUGGGAGGGCAGCUUCCACUCAUCACAACUAGAGAAAGCCUGUAUACAGCAGCAA
rnacentral:rRNA from 1 species